AACGUAGGUACCGAGCGUUAUCCGGAUUUACUGGGCGUAAAGCGCGUUCAGGCGGUUUGGCAAGUCGGGCAUGAAAUCUCUCGGCUCAACCGGGAGAGGUUGUCCGAUACUGCUGGACUUGAGGGCAGUAGAGGGUGGUGGAAUUCCGGGUGUAGUGGUGAAAUGCGUAGAUAUCCGGAGGAACACCAGUGGCGAAAGCGGCCACCUGGACUGCACCUGACGCUGACACGCGAAAGCGUGGGGAGCGAACCGG
rnacentral:rRNA from 1 species